UAUAGUGAUGAUGUUCAUACGAUAUGUGUACAUGUUGAUUUAUCGAAAAGAGAGAAACUCGGGAUUUUGAAGGGGGCAAAAAGAGUUGAAGUUAGCCUUUAUAGGUUGGUUAGGUGUUGAGAAAGGUUGUGGUUUCUCACCAACUUGGCUCGGUGCUGUUUGUCACCCUUUGUAUCAAAUGUGAUGAAGAGAAUCAUGUUUUUGUGAGCGGCUAAAUGAUGGAAGAAAUAGGAGACCGCCCUGUCGUUGGUCAGUUUAAUCUUACGUUGGUCAGUUUAAUCCUACGUGUAUCAAAUGUGACGAAAAUAACAUGUAACAAAUUAGGUUACUGGACAAGUAUGUUUGGUUAUAGAAUAAGCAAGAUUGAUAGGAUGAGGUUAGAAAACAAACAUCAU
rnacentral:lncRNA from 1 species